UAGGGAAUCUUCCGCAAUGGACGCAAGUCUGACGGAGCAACGCCGCGUGAGUGAAGAAGGUUUUCGGAUCGUAAAACUCUGUUGUAAGAGAAGAACAAAUUGUAGAGUAACUGCUACAGUCUUGACGGUAUCUUACCAGAAAGCCACGGCUAACUACGUGCCAGCAGCCGCGGUAAUACGUAGGUGGCAAGCGUUGUCCGGAUUUAUUGGGCGUAAAGGGGGCGCAGGCUGCUUCUUAAGUCUGAUGUGAAAGCCCACGGUUUAACCGUGGAAGUGCAUUGGAAACUGGGAGGCUUGAGUACAGAAGAGGAAAGUGGAGCUCCAUGUGUAGCGGUGGAAUGCGUAGAUAUAUGGAAGAACACCAGUGGCGAAAGCGACUUUCUGGUUUGUCACUGACGCUGAGGCCCGAAAGCGUGGGUAGCAAACAGG
rnacentral:rRNA from 1 species